rnacentral:misc_RNA from 1 species
AUUUUUGUGGACAUUGUCCAGAGUUGCACUCAUGGAAAUACAUUCUGAAUAAGGAGGAGACAAAAUCGAGAAAUUGAAGCAGGUGCGCUUAACACCUACCGAAAUGCAAACUCGGAUUUGGAAUAUUGUAGCUCUAAUGCUACUUGUCACAGUUUCUGUGAGCAAAGCCGAAACCUGUGAAAGCCUGCUAUACGAGUCGGAUGUCCCCCUCGCCUUCGAUAUCCGCGCUUAUGAGACCAUUACGACGUUCCCGGGGUCACUGAUGGGGACCUGUUCAGACAGGUGUCUGAGGGACAAAUCGUGUCUGGCCGUGGAGAUCUGCGAGUCCGGAGGUACCAAGUACUGUCGACUGGUGCGGGGCUGGACCCCCGGCUAUCUGGGAGUGACCGGUACGGAGACAUGCAAGCAGUACGCAGUCGUUCUGAACACGACUUGUGGUGCGUUGGAGUUCUACGACAGAGAGACGGCGCAAUGUGUACAGCAAGACGUAUGUAACUUUGAGUUGACCACGGAACCAACCUGUUUCCUGACGGAGACCACUGGUGACAUUUUCGACUGGACGAGAAGAUCGGGAUCCACAUCCUCUGUGUCAACUGGACCGCCCUCAGCCAAGGUUGGAAGUUACUAUAAAUACACAGAAACCUCCUCCCCACGACUCACCGGGGACACAGCCUGGCUGGUCAGCAACAGAGUGUUCGAGGACAAGACAUAUUGUCUUUCCAUGUAUUACCAUAUGUAUGGCUCAACGCAAGGAACUCUUAAAAUUCAAACCAUAACAGGAAGUGACCCCCCAGUGACGCAUUGGGAACUGUCUGGUGACCAAGGCAACACGUGGCACAGCCUUGACAAGCUCAACCUGCCUCUGAACAACAACACUAUGAUAAGGUUUGAAGGUAUCAGAGGGACCAACUACUACAGCGACAUGUCCAUCGACUACGUUGUGCUGUGGCCGUUUGCCUGUCCUUAGGUGUCCGAAGGCGGCGGGGAAGUAGAACGCCACCUGCCAUCAAGAAAAAUAACUCUUUGGGGUUUUAGUGAUAGAAUCUAUCUGAUUGAUAAUGACAGUAUUUUCCUGAUAUUUACUCGACAAUUGUGUGGUUUUCUUUCGAUCGAUCUGUUGAAUUUUCUUUGUCUCAUGUAAUUCUACUUCAUCUAAAGAGGCUUUUAUGCACAUGUUUUAUCUUUUUAAAAUAUUCUUAUUUAUGGAUUAUUAUUAUGUUGUAUGAUGUAACGUAUCUCAUAUUAUUUAAAUGUUACUGAAUAACGAAUGUUUUUUUUAUUCUGAAAAUAUGUACUCAAUGAAGUGCAGGUACUUGUUUUACAAAUAUUAUGAAAAAUGGUUAUAUUAAUAUUCACCGGUUAAAAAAUACAAAGACUAUGAGUAGUAUUUUCCAAAUACAAGCACCACAGUAAAUAACUGACUUCGAUACGUAAAAAAAAGUUAAUGAAACUUAAUGGGAACCGUAUCUAAUGGUGAAAGGUGGUUGAAAAUACCAUUUUGUAUUUAUCUUGGAUGAACGCAUAUUUCAUAUUCUUUAGGAGAGUAACUUGAGCCGUAAUUGCCAUUGAAGUCAUAGUGAGUGUUUUCAGGCUUGUCAAUACUGCAAUUCUGCAGAAGGUGCGCCAACAUGAAGAAUAUCUCGGACUGGGCCAUCAUUUUCCCGAUACAACUACGCCUCCCAGCGCUGAAUGCCAAAACGUUAUCCACUUUUUCUUUGAUAAGACAACCUUUGUCGUCUAAAAACCUUUCGGGCUGGAAUUCGAACGGAUUGCCCCAGUAUUCGUCGUGCAUGACAGAAGCAAUGUUAAAGAAAACAACAGUUCCUUUCUCUAUCAGGUUUCCUUUCACAUAUACGUCAGUUGUUGUCAUAUGUGGAAUCCCCAUUGGAACUACUGGAGAUAAUCUCAUAAUUUCUGAUAUUGCUGCCAUCGUGUAUGGUAAAACAUUUCUAUCCGAUAUUGCUAUGACCUUGUUCCUCCCUAUGGUUUCGUCCAGUUCUUCUUGGAUUUUCGAUUGCACAUCUUGAUAUUCAGCGAGAUACAUCAGAGCCCAAUUUAGUGUUGUUGCAGUAGUUUCGAACCCAGCGCCGAAAAAGUCUUGCAGUGUGCCCAAAAUCUGGCUUUUCGUCAGACCUACUUCGUUAGGUAAAUCUGUGAUGUUGUACUUCAAACAAGCCUUCAGAAGACCAUCCAUAGCAUGCCGGGUAUACAUUGGAUCAAACGUAUUCUUGAUCUCAAUUUCAUGAGCGUUGCGAGCGUUCUUGAAGUGAUUAACUAAUUCUAAAAAUCUUUUGAAUCGGCCUGGAAAAAAGUAUUGUAACCAAGGUAAAACAUCAAAAUAACUUCCAGCAGUGAAGAAUUCCUGGAAUAUAGCUUGAUCAUUCAUCACUUUUAAGAAAUCUGGAUCUUCUCGUAUGUUCUCGCCUUUUCCGUAGCAAAAUUGGUAGAUACUACUACCAGUUGCCAAGUAAAUUUCCGAUUUUGGAUUAAAAGGUUUGCCUUUAGCUUCCAGAAAGCUAGAAACAAGAAUAUCAGCCUCUUCUUUAAAAACCUCAAGCAUUCCAGCAUUAUCGUAGCUACUAAACUCCCUGACCACAGUACUGGCUAUUUUCCGGUGCUGUAUGUAUCUCUUGUCAAAGCCACUGAAUCCGAGACCCUUCAUGUCGUUCAGACUCUUGAUGGAGAAGAAUGGUGGCCGUGAAGCGAAGCUGUCAGAGUCACGCGUGAGUGUUGUUUUCACGGUGUCUUUACCACAUAUUACAACCGUGGGCCACAUACCGAAUCGCAGAAAAAACACAUCUCCGUAAUGCAUCUGGUACUCUCGGAACUUUUCCACUGGAUUUGAUCCGAGAAAUGGCAGGUGCCCGAGGACCGGAAGUCCCCAUGGACCAGGAGGUCUGCGGCUCCACUCCAGGAUGAUUUUAAGGGUGAUAAAUACAGUACAUAGCACCGUCACCACCCCGACGAGGUCCGAGGUCAUCUGAUUAAGAUGGAAAUUCGAUCCCGAUCCAAUCAUCGUCAUUUUGGCUGGAAUGAAGUGAAUAGAUGGUUGUUAGUUGGAUCUCUAUGAACACCUGAGCAACAAUGUAACAUGUUACAUGUAAUGGCUUUAAUAAACCAGUAAAAC